rnacentral:rRNA from 1 species
GAUGAACGCUGGCGGCGUGCCUAAUACAUGCAAGUCGAGCGAACGGACGAGAAGCUUGCUUCUCUGAUGUUAGCGGCGGACGGGUGAGUAAAACGUGGAUAACCUACCUAUAAGACUGGGAGAACGUCGGGAAACCGGAGCUAAUACCGGAUGAUAGUAUGAACAGCAUGGAUCAAAAGUGAAAGACGGUCUUGCUGUCACCUAUAGAUGGAACCACGCUGCAUUAGCGAUUUGGUAAGGUAAAGGCGUACCAAGGCAACGAUGCAGAGCCGACCUGAGGGGGUGAGCUGCCCCACUGGAACUGAGGCACGGUCCAGACUGCUACGGGAGGCAGCAGUAGGGAAUCUUCCGCAAUGGGCGAAAGCCUGACGGAGCAACGCCGCGUGAGUGAUGAAGGUCUUCGGAUCGUAAAACUCUGUUAUUAGGGAAGAACAUAUGUGUAAGUAACUGUGCACAUCUUGACGGUACCUAAUCAGAAAGCCACGGCUAACUACGUG